GACGUAGGGCGCGAGCGUUGUCCGGAUUUAUUGGGCGUAAAGGGCUCGUAGGCGGUCUGUUGCGUCAGGAGUGAAAACUCGGGGCUUAACCCCGAGCCUGCUUCUGAUACGGGCAGACUAGAGGUAUGCAGGGGAGAACGGAAUUCCUGGUGUAGCGGUGAAAUGCGCAGAUAUCAGGAGGAGCACCGGUGGCGAAGGCGGUUCUCUGGGCAUUACCUGACGCUGAGGAGCGAAAGUGUGGGGAGCGAACAGG
rnacentral:rRNA from 1 species